UACGUAGGGUGCAAGCGUUGUCCGGAAUUAUUGGGCGUAAAGAGCUCGUAGGCGGUUUGUUGCGUCGGCUGUGAAAACCCGGGGCUCAACCCCGGGCCUGCAGCCGAUACGGGCAGACUAGAGUUCGGCAGGGGAGACUGGAAUUCCCGGUGUAGCGGUGAAAUGCGCAGAUAUCAGGAGGAACACCGGUGGCGAAGGCGGGUCUCUGGGCCGAUACUGACGCUGAGGAGCGAAAGCGUGGGGAGCGAACAGG
rnacentral:rRNA from 1 species